CAAUGGCGUAUAUUAAAGUUGUUGCAGUUAAAAAGCUCGUAGUUGGAUUUCUGGUGGGAGCGACCGGUCGGCCCAAGUGGUGUGUACUAGUGUUGCAUCUGACCAUGUUUGCGGAGAGCGUGUGUGGCAUUAAUUUGUCGUGCUCGGGACCCGCAUCGUUUACUGUGAGAAAAUUAGAGUGUUCAAAGCAGGCUUAUGCCUUGGAUAUGUUAGCAUGGAAUAAUAAGAUAAGACUUUGGCGGUCUAUUUUGUUGGUUUGCACGCCAUUGUAAUGAUUGAUAGGGACAGUUGGGGGUAUUCAUAUUUAAUUGUCAGAGGUGAAAUUCUUGGAUUUAUGAAAGAUGAACUACUGCGAAAGCAUUUACCAAGGAUGUUUUCAUUAA
rnacentral:rRNA from 1 species